GAAACAUCUGUGCUGUGUCUGCUCUUUCUGAUCUCACUGCUGAGCUGCACAACAAACCAAGACUUUAAACCAGAGCCAGACGUCAUCUACUCUUCACUGAAGUAGUCCACCAAUCCAACCACUGACAUCCACUGCUGGUCUCUGAUUGGUCCUCUCAGCAUCUCAAGAGUACAACUGCUUGUUGAAAUACUUUUAUAUAUUUUGCGCCUUUUUCUCACUGAACCUUACUCAAAUGACUCAAAAAGGACAUAUUUUUAACAGAAUUUUCUGCCAAGUAGGCAAUGAUCAUAUAAAUGUGUUAAUAUACUUUAUUAACUUUAUUGUUAUGUAAAUGUUAUUUAUGCUCGGUGACUUAUGACUGCACUCUGGUUUCUUUGGCAGAUUAAUAAACCUCAGUUCUUGUAUAACGUUCCUGUGUGGGUAUGUGGGCUUUGCCAAGCUGUGAGAUGGAAAAUAUGACUUGUUUGAUUGUGGCUAACCAAUGGAAAUGUCUCUUCAGUGGAGAACACAAACAAUAAACCAAAUCAAAUCACUUUUA